rnacentral:rRNA from 1 species
AUUGAACGCUGGCGGCAGGCCUAACACAUGCAAGUCGAGCGGAUGAAGGGAGCUUGCUCCUGGAUUCAGCGGCGGACGGGUGAGUAAUGCCUAGGAAUCUGCCUGGUAGCGGGGGAUAACGUCCGGAAACGGGCGCUAAUACCGCAUACGUCCUGACGGAGAAAGGGGGGGAUCUUCGGACCUCACGCUAUCAGACGAUCCUAGGUCGGAUUAGCUAGUUGGUGGGGUAAAGGCCUACCAAGGCGACGAUCCGUAACUGGUCUGAGAGGAUGAUCAGUCACACUGGAACUGAGACACGGUCCAGACUCCUACGGGAGGCAGCAGUUGGGAAUAUUGGACAAUGGGCGAAAGCCUGAUCCAGCCAUGCCGCGUGUGUGAAGAAGGUCUUCGGAUUGUAAAGCACUUUUAGUUGGGAGGAAAGACAGUAAGUUAAUACCUUGCUGUUUUGACGUUACCAAAAGAAUAAGCAACGGCUAACUUCGUG